GACGAACGCUGGCGGCGUGCUUAACUCAUGCAAGUCGAACGGAAAGGCCCUGCUUUUGUGGGGUGCUCGAGUGGCGAACGGGUGAGUAACACGUGAGUAACCUGCCCUUGACUUUGGGAUAACUUCAGGAAACUGGGGCUAAUACCGGAUAGGAGCUCCUGCUGCAUGGUGGGGGUUGGAAAGUUUCGGCGGUUGGGGAUGGACUCGCGGCUUAUCAGCUUGUUGGUGGGGUAGUGGCUUACCAAGGCUUUGACGGGUAGCCGGCCUGGGAGGGUGACCGGCCACCUUGGGACUGAGAGACGGACCAGACUCCUACGGGAGGCAGCAGUGGGGAAUAUUGCACAAUGGGCGGAAGCCUGAUGCAGCAACGCCGCGUGCGGGAUGACGGCCUUCGGGUUGUAAACCGCCUUCGCCUGUGACGAGGCGUGAGUGACGGUAAUGGGUAAAGAAGCACCGGCUAACUACGUG
rnacentral:rRNA from 1 species